CACACAGUAAACGAUGAUAACUAGCCGUUGGCGAUAUACAGUCAGUGGCAGAGCGAAAGCAUUAAGUUAUCCACCUGGGGAGUACGCCGGCAACGGUGAAACUCAAAGGAAUUGACGGGGGCCCGCACAAGCGGAGGAACAUGUGGUUUAAUUCGAUGAUACGCGAGGAACCUUACCCGGGCUUGAAUUGCAGAGGAAUGUCGUGGAAACAUGGCAGCUAGUAAUAGUCUCUGUGAAGGUGC
rnacentral:rRNA from 1 species